AUCUGGGCGGCGGAAUUCAGGAUGACGGGCGCGUUUCGCGCGUGUCCGUCGUUUGAUAUUUCCGUCGCCGACUCAACCCGCAGACGUCGCGACCUGUUCGCGGUCGGUCCCUGCUCGGAGGAGUCACGUUCGAGUUUGUUGCGUGCGCGUUUAUGCGCGUUACGCGGCAAAGGCGUGAAUCUCUGGCUGGCCGUCGGACAGUACGCUCAACGGUGUCCGAUGUCGUCGUCUCGUACGCGCGCGCAUCGGUACCGGUCGGCGACGAAUUCUUCGGGCCUCUUUCCGACCCGUCUUGAAACACGGACCAAGGAGUCUAACAUGCGCGCGAGUCGCGGGGUGUCGAGCGUACUUCGGUGCGUUCGUUACGUUGCGAAACCCGUACAUGUCGAAGGCGUAAUGAAAGUAAAUGGGGAAGAUGGUGUUCCGAGUACACGUUCCGCGGUCAUUGGUACCGCGGCCGGACACCCGCAUUCCCGGGGCGUCUCAACGGCCCGUCGCGGAUGCGGGCAGUCGUCUCUCGGGGCGGCUGUCGGUCCGCGACGAACCGA
rnacentral:rRNA from 1 species